rnacentral:lncRNA from 1 species
CUUUGCUGUAGAGUGUGACUGCCAGUAGUUAAAAUUUUGCUUGACAGAGGAAGCUGCUUCUUGGAUUAUAAGGACGUGUUUCAAUGUAUGCGUACAGCCUGUUCUACACUUGAUGCUGGGGAUUUUGCAUGACUUUCAUAGAGAGCAAUAACUUUUAUUUUACUUUCCAGAGACAGACAUCCACAUGCUGUUUUGUAAGGAUACACAUAACCACUGGAUAUAACCAUGUUUUUGUGGCUAGAACUCUUGGUGUUUGGCUUGGCUCUUGUGGACAUGGAAGUUUUCAUAAAUGGCCAAUCAACACCACCACAAACAACAUCUAUUAUGAAAACAACAAAUGAUGAUGGGCAUACUUUCUUUACUCCAACCACUGGCACUGCAACAAGCAUCUCUUCAGCUCUCCCAAACACCACCUCAAUAGAUACACAAAAACUUUGUGACACUAUUCAGCAUUCUGAGAACUUUACAAAGGAUCGUCAUGCUGCAAAUCUUGCGUUUCAUGGAUCAUUAGAUUUGCUGAAUGUUACCUGCAAUUCUUGUGAUUGGAAAAAAGAGACCAAUACUUUGUCUCAUCUGACAGAAUGCCAAACCUAUAACAUAACCGCAAAGUUCAGCAAAGAUUGCAAGAAAUCUUUUUCCAUUAAUGUUCCCAUUUCUGAUAACAAGCAAUUGAAUGCAACCUCCACUAAUACUACAAUAACUUUAUUUUGGGACACAGAUGAUAAUUGUGAAUUGAAAUAUUCAUAUUGCUGUUUCCAAAAGGGUAGGAUUUUUUUUAAGCAAUCAGUUGGCAUUUGAUCUAAAAUUAAUGGGGAAAUCAACAAGU